AUGCCUUCGCACCGGCCAGUUGAAUUCAUUAUUGAUCUUGAGCCCGGCACGGAACCUGUGUGCAAACGUCCUUACAAGCUCGGACCUGAAGAGUUGAAGGAGCUGAAGAAACAACUCGAUGAGCAAGAAAGAAUGGGUCUCAUCCGGGCUAGUUCUUCUCCGUGGGGUUGUGGUGUUCUUUUUGUGAAGAAGAAGGAUGGAUCGGACCGACUUUGUGUUGAUUACCGUCCAUUGAACAAGAAGACCAUCAAGAAUAAAUACCCACUUCCCAACAUCAAUGAGCUAUUCGAACAACUCAAAGGUGCUCAAGUAUUCUCCAAGCUUGAUCUCCGUAUGGGUUAUCAUCAGAUUCGUAUCUGUGAGCAAGAUAUUCCCAAGACGGCUUCCAGGACAAGCUUUGGCUCAUAUGAAUACACUGCCAUGUCUUUUGGCCUCGUCAACGCUCCUCCGACGUUCUCUCGCAUGAUGAACUUCAUCUUCAACGACUACACCAAUGACUUCGUUUUGGUCUAUCUCGACGACAUUCUGGUUUUCUCCAAGAACAAGGAAGAUCAUGCCAAGCAUUUGCGUUUGGUGCUCGAUAAGCUCAGGGAACAUCAGUUCUACGCCAAGUUCUCCAAGUGUGAAUUUUGGCUCGAUGAGGUUCUUUAUCUUGGUCAUAUCAUCUCUGCCAAGGGAAUUGCCGUGAAUCCUGAGAAGGUGUCUGCAAUUGUGAAUUGGGAACCUCCUCAGAACGUGAAGCAACUCCGCAGUUUCCUCGGUCUCGCAAGCUAUUGCCGAAGAUUCGUUGAAAACUUUUCGAAGAUCGUGAAGCCUCUCUCUAAUCUUCUUCAGAAGCACGUCAAGUACAUUUGGUCUCCGGAGUGUGAUAUUUCUUUCAACACUUUGAAAGAGAAGUUGAUCUCUGCUCCAGUUUUGACUCCGCCUGAUGAAUCCAAGCCGUACGAGGUCUUUUGUGAUGCCUCUCUCCAAGGUCUUGACGCAGUUUGA
rnacentral:rRNA from 1 species